rnacentral:rRNA from 1 species
AUGCUGCACGCGCCGCCGCCGCUGGAGGCGGCCGGGUCGCCCGUCGCGCACAGCCGCUGCCUCCUCCGCGACCUCGGCGGCCAUGGCGCGGUGCCGGCCGACCCCUCCGCGCUCUACGACGCCGACGCGGCCACCACCCGGUUCCUCCUCGAGAGGAUUCUGCGGGAGAGCGGCACCGCGCGCCGCCUCCUGACUUCCUCGUCCUCUCCGAGGUCCUCGUCGACGGACGCAGUGGACACCGACUCGAAGGAGCCCGAGGACCCGGCGGAUUCCGCCCCUGGCCUCGUUCCUGUCUCAGGUCGCGCCGACCCUACCUCCGUAGCUAGCAGUUCAGGGACUCCGCCCGCCACCGCUCUCAACCAGCCCCUCGAAUCAACGGAGCAAGUCCCCGCCAGCCGCCUGUCUGCUCUUCUCGGGCCGAAUGGUCGCGUCCUGAUCGUGGCCAAUCGGCUCCCCGUCACGGCCAAGCGCCACCCGGUUAAGAAGUGGGAAUAUCCGAGCAGCUCUGGCGGUCUCGUCAGCGCCCUGCAAGGUAUUAAAGAUGUGCAAAUGAUGUGGGUCGGCUGGCCUGGCGUCAGCGUCCCCAAUGAGACCGAUCAAACAGUAAUCACCGAGGAACUAUUCAAGCGGAGGUGCGUACCUGUGUUCCUGGAUGAGGAGUUGAUGGACCAGUACUACAGCGGGUAUUGCAACAAAAUUCUCUGGCCACUCUUCCAUUACUUGGGGCUCCCGCAAGAGUACAAGAUCAAUAAGGCAAAGGGUAUCAAGUCGCAGUUCGAAGCGUAUACUCAAGCAAAUCAGAUGUUCGCAGAGACAGUGUGCAAAAUUUAUAAGGAAGGAGAUAUCAUAUGGUGCCAUGACUACCAUCUGAUGUGCCUUCCCAAGUUGCUGAAGCAGUAUAAUAUCAACAUGAAGGUAGGCUGGUUCCUGCACACGCCAUUUCCCUCAUCCGAGAUGUACCGGGCACUGCCAAACCGUGCGGAGUUGUUGGAGGCGGUGCUUAAAGCUGACUUAGUGGGGUUUCAUGCGUAUGAUUAUGCAAGGCAUUUUGUGAGUGCUUGCAUUAGCCUGCUUGGUCUUGAGGGUGACCUUGAUAGCAUUCAGUUUGACGGAAGGAUUGUCAAGGUGGAUGCUUUUCCAAUCGGGAUAGACGCUCAGCGUUUUACAAAAGCAUUGGAGGGUCCCAAAGUGAAAGAGAAAAUUACCGAAUUCAAGAAACUUUUUGCUGGCCGAAAGGUAAUACUUGGUGUGGACCGGCUAGACAUGAUUAAAGGAUUCCUGCAAAAGUUGUUGGCCUUUGAGAAAUUUCUUGAGAAAAAUGAGGAACUGGAUUCUGGAUACAAAGUGGUUCUACUGCAGAUUGCAGUGCCAACCAGAAGUGACGUACCCGAAUAUCGGAAGCUAGCAAGUCAAGUGCAUGAACUGGUUGCACGUGUAAAUGGUCGAUUCGGAACACUGAAAGCAACUCCUAUUCUACACCUGGAUCAAACCGUCGAUUUUGAUUCAUUGUGUGCUCUUUAUGCAAUCACUGAUGUAGCUCUGAUAACAUCACUGAGAGAUGGAAUGAAUCUUGUAAGCUAUGAAUAUGUUGCCUGUCAAGAAUCAAAUAAAGGUGUUCUGAUACUGAGUGAGUUUGCAGGGGCAGCGCAAUCUCUUGGGGCUGGUUCUAUUAUUGUAAACCCAUGGGAUAUUGCGGAAGUAGCAGACGCAAUAAAAUGUGCUUUGGAUAUGCCAACUGAAGACAGGGAGAAGCACCACAGGCAUAAUUAUGAACUUGUGUCAAGACACACCGCACAAGACUGGGCAGAAAACUAUGUCUGCGACCUAUAUAAUGCAACUAGUAAAGCUCCGCUACGAGCAAUACACACUACUGUGCUCCCUAUUGGAGAAGCAGCUGCACAAUAUGGACAAUCCAACAAUCGUUUGCUCAUAUUGGGUUUCAAUGCAACAUUGACUGGUCAGAUCGAAUUGUUUGAGGAAGGGGCUGACAUUGAACCCAAGUUGAACCCUGAAUUUAAGCAACCACUGAAGACACUUUGUGAUAAUGAGAAUACGACUGUCGUUGUUGUCAGUGGAUACGGCAAGAGUAUUCUCGAUAAAAAUUUUGCAGACUAUAAAUUGUGGUUAGCGGCAGAGAAUGGGAUGUUCUUUCGGCGACCUGGUGAAGAAUGGAUAACCACUAGAUAUGAACAGGAUGAAAUCAGCUGGGCUGGCAGUGUAAAGAAAGUGUUUGAAUACUUCACCAAAAGAACCCCGAGGUCUAAUUUUGAACAGCGUGAAUCAUCACUUGUUUGGAACUAUAAAUAUGCAGAUGUUCAGUUUGGGAGAAAUCAAGCGACAGAUCUGCUGCAGCAUUUGGGGGCAUAUUCAUUAUCAAAUCAAAGCGCUGUUGUUGUUCAAGGCAGUCGAUCAAUUGAAGUUCGUCCUAUGGGAGUCACCAAGGGUAAAGCUGUUGGUGAAAUUAUUCGCGAGUUGGAUCUCAGAAAUAUCAUGGCUACUCCAAUCGACUAUGUCUUGUGCAUUGGUCAUUUCCUUGCAAAGGAUGAAGAUAUUUAUACCUUACCCAGCUUUGAUGUUCAACCUGGAGCGAAAAGAAAGGGAAAGGGGUGUCAAGCAGAGGAUUGCUCAAGCAUCAAGUUUGACCUCAACCAUAAGAACUAUUUCUCAUGCACUGUUGGUAGGGAACACUCUGUAGCACGGUACAAUCUCAAGGGAACAAGCGAAGUUGUGUCCCUACUCCAGGAUCUUGCAGCAGCUGCUGCUCCAGGUAACAUGAGUCACCCACCAUAG